rnacentral:rRNA from 1 species
UACAGGGGGGGCAAGCGUUGUUCGGAAUUACUGGGCGUAAAGUGUGCGCAGGUGGCUGCGCAAGUCGAGUGUGAAAGCCCCGGGCUUAACUUGGGAAUUGCGCUCGAAACUACGUGGCUAGAGUGUGGCAGAGGAAGGUGGAAUUCCACGUGUAGCGGUGAAAUGCGUAGAGAUGUGGAGGAACACCGAUGGCGAAGGCAGCCUUCUGGGCCAACACUGACGCUCAUGCACGAAAGCGUGGGGAGCAAACAGG